rnacentral:tRNA from 1 species
GCGAAGGUGGCGGAAUAGGUAGACGCGCUAGCUUCAGGUGUUAGUGUCCUUGCGGACGUGAGGGUUCAAGUCCCUCUCUUCGUACCA